rnacentral:rRNA from 1 species
CUCAGGAUGAACGCUGGCGGCGUGCCUAAUACAUGCAAGUCGAGCGAAUGGAUUGAGAGCUUGCUCUCAAGAAGUUAGCGGCGGACGGGUGAGUAACACGUGGGUAACCUGCCCAUAAGACUGGGAUAACUCCGGGAAACCGGGGCUAAUACCGGAUAACAUUUUGAACUGCAUGGUUCGAAAUUGAAAGGCGGCUUCGGCUGUCACUUAUGGAUGGACCCGCGUCGCAUUAGCUAGUUGGUGAGGUAACGGCUCACCAAGGCAACGAUGCGUAGCCGACCUGAGAGGGUGAUCGGCCACACUGGGACUGAGACACGGCCCAGACUCCUACGGGAGGCAGCAGUAGGGAAUCUUCCGCAAUGGACGAAAGUCUGACGGAGCAACGCCGCGUGAGUGAUGAAGGCUUUCGGGUCGUAAAACUCUGUUGUUAGGGAAGAACAAGUGCUAGUUGAAUAAGCUGGCACCUUGACGGUACCUAACCAGAAAGCCACGGCUAACUACGUGCCAGCAGCCGCGGUAAUACGUAGGUGGCAAGCGUUAUCCGGAAUUAUUGGGCGUAAAGCGCGCGCAGGUGGUUUCUUAAGUCUGAUGUGAAAGCCCACGGCUCAACCGUGGAGGGUCAUUGGAAACUGGGAGACUUGAGUGCAGAAGAGGAAAGUGGAAUUCCAUGUGUAGCGGUGAAAUGCGUAGAGAUAUGGAGGAACACCAGUGGCGAAGGCGACUUU